CAAGAAAACCCUACUAUACCCCAUGUUUAUCUAACACCAGGGCAUCCCAGGAAAGAUUAAAAGAAAGAAAAGGAACUCGGCAAAUAUUAACCUCGCCUGUUUACCAAAAACAUCGCCUCUUGAUAAAAUAUAAGAGGUCCAGCCUGCCCAGUGACUCUGUUCAACGGCCGCGGUAUCCUAACCGUGCGAAGGUAGCGUAAUCACUUGUUCUUUAAAUGAGGACUAGUAUGAAUGGCACCACGAGGGCUAUACUGUCUCUUCUUUCCAAUCAGUGAAACUAAUCUCCCCGUGAAGAAGCGAGGAUGAAAAUAUAAGACGAGAAGACCCUAUGGAGCUUUAAACCACACAACACCUGCUUUGACCCAACUAAAUUUCAGAAAACCCCUCUUCACCCCAGCAGGAUGAUUGCCAGUUUUAGGUUGGGGUGACCGCGGAGCAAAAAACAACCUCCACAUUGAAAGGGCACCUACCCCUUAGCCAAGAGCCACACCUCCACGCACCAAUAAAAUGACAUUAAUUGACCCAAUAUAUUGAUCAACGAACCAAGUUACC
rnacentral:rRNA from 1 species